UACGAAGGGGGCUAGCGUUGUCCGGAAUCAUUGGGCGUAAAGCGCGUGUAGGCGGUCCGGUAAGUCCGCUGUGAAAGCCCAGGGCUUAACCCUGGAAUUGCCUUUAAGACUGCAUCGCUAGAAUCGUGGAGAGGUGAGUGGAAUUCCGAGUGUAGAGGUGAAAUUCGUAGAUAUUCGGAAGAACACCAGUGGCGAAGGCGACUCACUGGACACGUAUUGACGCUGAGGUGCGAAAGCGUGGGGAGCAAACAGG
rnacentral:rRNA from 1 species